UCUCCUCUCCCUGGCGUUUCCCUUACUGUGGCCGUUUGGUUAGAGUGAGGCUGGUGGCAUUGGCUUUGUGGCGGAGUUCCAGGUGUGCGAAUGCUAGCUGUUGCAUUGAGACUUGGCACUUUGUUGGAGUAACCAUAUAGCUUUGCAUUUGGUCUUCAUUCAACCCUAAAUGGGAAAUGGAAAAUCACAAUCUCUAAGCUGAUCCCUUGCUGAAGACCCUACAUGUGACACCGCUGCUGUUUUGCUUAUGGACAUUUUCGUUUCCUUUUUUGUAGUUUAUUUCUUUAACA